rnacentral:rRNA from 1 species
GACUACAGGGGUAUCUAAUCCUGUUUGCUACCCACGCUUUCGUGCCUCAGUGUCAGUUACGGUCCAGUAAGUCGCCUUCGCCACUGGUGUUCUUCCUAAUCUCUACGCAUUUCACCGCUACACUAGGAAUUCCACUUACCUCUCCCGCACUCAAGAUAUCCAGUUUCAAAUGCAGGUCCUGGGUUGAGCCCAGGGAUUUCACAUCUGACUUAAAUAUCCACCUACGCACCCUUUACGCCCAGUAAAUCCGGACAACGCUUGCCACCUACGUAUUACCGCGGCUGCUGGCACGUAGUUAGCCGUGGCUUCCUCCUUUGGUACCGUCAUUAUCGUCCCAAAAGACAGAGCUUUACAAUCCGAAGACCUUCAUCACUCACGCGGCGUUGCUGCAUCAGGCUUUCGCCCAUUGUGCAAUAUUCCCCACUGCAGCCACCCGUAGG